AUUGAACGCUGGCGGCAGGCCUAACCCAUGCAAGUCGAACGAGUGGCGGACGGGUGAGUAAUGUCUGGGAAACUGCCCGAUGGAGGGGGAUAACUACUGGCAACGGUAGCUAAUACCGCAUACCAUCGGAUGUGCCCAGAUGGGAUUAGCUAGUAGGUGGGGUAACGUCUCACCUAGGCGACGAUCCCUAGCUGGUCUGAGAGGAUUACCAGCCACAAUGGAACGGAGACACGGUCCAGACUCCUACGGGAGGCAGCAGUGGGGAAGAUUGCACAAUGGGCGCAAGCCUGAUGCAGCCAUGCCGCGGGUAUGAAGAAGGCCUGCGGGUUGUAAAGUACUUUCAGCGAGGAGUCGUUACUCGCAGAAGAAGCACCGGCUAACUCCGUGCCAGCAGCCGCGGGAAUUC
rnacentral:rRNA from 1 species